ACCACCACCACGAAGGCGAACGGCUCGGACACGGCGCCCUCGGUGUCCACCACCUCGAACUCGAUCUGGAAGAUCCUCUCAUGGUCGGAGUCGGCGGCCGGCGGCUGGUAAGCGAUCUUCAGUUCCUGCAGGUCGCGCUGGUAGAAGGAGGUGAUGGGCAGGUGCCGGUCGUCGGUGCUGACCACCGAGCCUAGCGGCGGCGGCGACGUGAUGUUGAAGACCAGCUCCCCGGGCUCGGACUCGGUGUCCUCGGCCGCCAGCAUGUCCGGAGUGAUGGCGGUCAGCACGAACUGGUCCACCUCCAUCAUCAUCAUGGCCACGAAGCUGGGCUUGGGCGCCGUGUUGUCCGCUCCGCCUCGGAUGCGCACCACGAUCUGGAAGUAUUCCUGCUUCAGCAGCUGGCCCUCGGCGUUGUGCAGCUCGACCACCGCCGGGAUGUAGUCCCGGUUGGGCGAGCCGGUGGCCGCCAUGUGGCGGUACCGCACGCCCGAGUCCAGGAACUCCUGGCAGUCCAGCAACUGGCCACCGCCACCUCCUUGCCUCUCGUCCACUAACCGCCCGUAGCGUGGGAGGCCGCCGGCGCCACUCAAGGUAGCCAGGCGGCAGCGCUGCCAGCUCGGCUGGUAGCUCAGCUCCAACACCUUGCGGUCGAUCGCGUUGCUGGUGCCCAGGAGGCGCUCGACGGUCAGCGGCAGGUUGCGGGUGACGAUCUCCAGCUGGGUGAAGACCACCUCGACCUCCAGCAUGAACGGGAUGAUCACCGUGUCCGUCUGGCUGUCGUACCUCAGCUGCAGCUUCACCCGGUCCCGGGACGGGCUCCGGGAGCCGAAGUGCGAGUACUUCACCUCGUCCCGCCCGAAAUCGCACGGGAACUUCUUGGGACUCAGCUGGCCCGGCCGCUGCGACAGUGGGUCGUUGCCCAGUACAGUGACCGUGCACUUGUCUCCCGGCUGGACCUGGAUGACCAGGUCGUGGAUGGGAUCCAGAUCGACCGAGCGGCCGAAGGGCACACGGAUACCGUUGUUGGCCAGAAGGAUGGAGUCCUCGGACAGUCCCGACAUAAAUCCGUAAUAAAGUUCCGCACUUUCCAAACUCUCAUAGCCCCUUGUGCUACCUGUCACUGUCAGAGCCAACAGCAGCAGCCUGGCCACACACAAACAGAAGCACUCACGCUUCCCUCUCUGCUGCAAACUUCCCAUGGUCUUUACUUUCUUCUCACAAAGAUUUAUUUCCUCUUCCCUCCCCUUUACACAGCAAAGGAUCUGCACAGAUUAGUCUCUCUGUCUCUCAUGUAUUUCAAGAAAAAGUGACAAUUCUCUUAUUCUUCUUCUGCGCUAUUGUUGAGGACCAAGUGUAGAGCCAGUCUGUCUUUUUCUCCGUUCGGGUCGCAGCAACAAAUUGCACCACUGCACUCUGCACCAGCCAGACUCCAGGCUAUAAACUCCCGUAACUGGGACUAACCUGUCUGCGGAAGUACCGCCCCGCUGCCGGCACCGAUUGGAGAUCAAUGAGAUCCCAGCCCCAGUCCUUGUCGCCCAACUUUCAGGCCGGUGGGUGGUCAGGUGAACUGUCAAUUAGAUGACGUCUUCCAGAAGGGACCCACGGGGUCUUUCUCCCCCCAACCACCGAGGAAUAUAGACCCUGAGCACUCCGUAAAUGGCAACAUGGCCAGCUGAGGUACUGAUCUGGGAAAAGCGAGACAGAGCAAAUGUAACAAAGACAGGACAGAUUAUAUCUCGGUGGGAGGAGUGUCCAGCAGUAGGACGGGAAGUUAAAUAGCGAAAAUUAGGAGAGAGAAAGUUGAGGAACCAAGCCCGUCUUGGAAACUAGGUGCACUGUUGGAUUGAAUACAGUCGAAGAAAAGGGAGGAGUUGAGAUUAAAUGAAGAUCGAAGUCACAGAUUAGGUGUAAUGGCAAAGACUGUGAAAAGGGAUACGAAUAACCAUUAAUAAACUUUUAAACAAACUCGAAAGCCUCAAGUCAUUGUUUUAAGCUUUGUGCCAAAGUUUCCCUAUUCAUUGUUUGGCCCCUGAACGCUGCUUUACGCUAACACGUUGGAAAUGAGCAGUGGGAGCUGCUGGUUGAAAUUAUUCCACGUUUGUUUAUUUAUAAUUGGUUGUGUUUCUUCCUGAAAACUUUCAUCGUAAUAGUUUGUCGUUUCAUUUGACCCAGACAUGGAAAUGUUACUGUUUUCAAAGUCACUUGCGAAAAUAAAACUAACAAAUAAGUUUGUUAGGGCAUGUUGUGUCUGAAAUCUUACUUAUGUAGUUAUCUCAUGAGAAUGUUCGAGGGAGGAAUCCUGUCCACAACUUAAUAGAAUGAUUUCAGAAUUGGCCAUCGCAUUUAUUUGUCGCUGUUUUACAACAUUGUUUGUUGUUACAUCGUCAUUUCGCGUCAUUUCCCAAACAGUUGUUUAUCGAUAACUCAGCAUUUCUUAUCACCGGAGAUAAUAGGAACUGCAGAUGCUGGAGAAUUCUGACUCGGUUGUCACUACAAUGUUGAAGCGACAAUUAGCCAUUCACUUCCAUUAUAGAGGCCAGAAUCUGGUCGCGGGUGCCCGUCAGAAAUCAAAAGCGGCAGCAACACUAGUAUUUGGAGUGGGAAACAUAGGGGGAGCUCUGGGUUGCACGCCCACGUGAAUUCACAGCUGCCUACCUUGGGGUUAUGAGAACCGGAGGUUCCGCCUUAAAGCUAAUUCCGUGCGUUGAGCCAAGAAACUUGAUCGGUGCUUUCUGUCAACCUGGGUCUUAAAGACAGAUAUCUCUGAACUGCCGUGUGACCAGGGAGCCAUCGAAAAGUAACAGAUGGAAGAAUAAAGGAUUUCCAAAGUCUCUGCAGUCAAGAGGACCACCCCACAAGACAUGACCUCCUCUGCCUCUGAGGAAGACAGCAUGGAUGCCUCCAAAGAAGCAGUGACAAAGCUGCCUCCUGAACAUCUAACUAACUCAGUUGACACCUUGAGGUAUUUUCUCUAGAUGUCAGGAAUGCAUCACUGCCACGUCUUUGCAACUGUCCAAGGCAUAGUAACUUAGAAACAUAGAAACCAGGAGUAGGCCAUUCAGUUCUUUGAGCCUGCUCCACCAAAUCAACAUGAUCAUGUCUGAUCAUCCAAAUAAGUAUCCUGUUCCCACUUUCUCUCAGUUUCAUUUGAUAUUCUUAGCCUGAAGAACUAUAUCUAAUUCCUUCUUGAAAACAUUCAAUGUUUUGGGCCUUAACCAUUUCCUGUGGGAAAGAAUUCCACAGGCAAACCCGGACGGCUAGAAUAUGACUUUUGGUUCUGGACUCCUUGGUCAUCAGGAAUAUCCUUUGUGCAUUUAUCCUGUCUAGUCCUGUUAGAAUUUUACAGGUUUCUAUGAGCCUCAUUCUUUGAAACUUCAGUGAAUAUAGUCUGAAAUGAUCCCGCCUCUAUUCAGCAUCUGUCAGGAGGCAGUAACACCCCAGGUCACUGGCACUUAGAGGACUGCCAGAGACCAGGUACCUGCUUGGCCCCAGGCAGGAGACAACCUCAUGAUUUUGGCAGUUAGAGACUUCACACAGACGCAGAAGCAAAAACAGCAAUGGCAGGUAAGUUUAUCAGAGGUGCAGGGUAAUCUAAGAUAAAGCCUCCAGGACUGGAACAAUGCUGUUGGGACCCUGCUGCUUCAGUCAUGUAAGCAUCUGGCUGCUUCCAUGGACAGCUUGGUAACUGCCAAAAGGAGGUCCCGAGUUCUCAGAGUCUGCUGGAUAUAAGUAUAUUUGGCCAUGCUCCAUCAUUCUAGUUCUUUCAUUGUGGUAAGGCAAAUCAGGGCACAACUUCUGCAGUUAAUGGUAAAGGCUGUGAAGUGUUGCUUAUCAAAGAGACUUUAGGGUGCAGGUGCAUAGCUCCUUGAAAGUGGAGUCACAGGCAGACAUGGUAGUGAAGAAGGCAUUUGGUAUGCUUGCCUUCAUUGGUCAAAACAUUGAGUAUAGGAAUUUGGAUAUCAUGUUACAGCUUACAGGAUAUUGGUGAGGCCACUUUUACAAUUCUAUGUUCAGUUCAGGCGUCCCUACUGUAGGAAAGAUGUUGUCAAACUUGAAAUGAUGUAGUGAAGAUUUACAAUGAUGUUGCCAGGAUUGGAGAGUUUGAGUCAUAGGAAGAGGCAGAAUUUUUCUAUGGGGCUAUUUUUCCUGGAGCAUUGAAGGCUGAGGGGUGACCUUAGAGGUUUAUAAAAUCAUGAGGUGCAUGGAUAGGAUGAAUAGUGAAGGUCUUUUUCCCUGGCUAGGGAGGCCCAGAAUUAAAGGGCAUAGUGUACAAUUGCAACAUAUAAAAGACAUCUGGAUGAGUACAUGAAUAGGAAUGGCUUAGAACAAUAUCAGCCAAAUGUCGGCAAGUAGGAUUAGUUCUUUUUAGGAUACCUGGUCAACACAGAUGAGUUAGACUGAAGGGUCUAUGUCCAUGCUGUAUAACUCUGACUGUACUGGUAUUCAACACCAACAGUAAGGUGUCAGGGAGACACCUGGGUGCCUCACUCCUGGUGGCCUUCCUCAAGUAGAAAGGGUGGUUCUGGGGGAGGAAACAUGGACAGAAAACUCCAGCCCACAACCCAACCCAACCCCACCCUGUUACAAGUACCUCUCAGGACUUUCCAGAGGAGGUCAAGUCUUCCAUCUUCUCUCUGCCUGCCACCUUCAGUUCUGUGGGAGUUCGAGACAAAGAGAGUGCACCUAUCUCCAGGCAGGAUGCACUCAGCAUGCCUGGGCCACAAGACUCAAAUGUCUCCAGGGUCACCUAGUACAAAUGUAGAAUGUAAUUUGAUACAAAUGCAUUGCAAUCCCCUCUCCAUUCCAGCACUCUAAACCGAAUACCCACAAUUGAGCUGCCCAGACUCCCUCCUGGAGCAGUGGCGUCUAAUAACCCCUUCUUGACUUUUACUGCCCAGACCUCCAGGACUGACCAUGGCCAAAUUAGCGAGGUUGGUUGAUGCAUGUGCAGUCUGUUUGGCUUGUGCAUGGCUGGCCCAUGGUUCGGGUGUGAGAUUGUUGUAGGAAUGUGCUGUUCAAUAAUAUGGCCCCGUCUCACUGUCCUUCACUGUUGAUUGCUGACAAUGAUGACGAGACACCUGGUCAAACCUGCAAGGCAAUACAGAAGUACAGAGUUAGUAGGAACUGCUGAUGCUGGAGAAUCUGAGAUAACAAGGUG